UGAACGCUGGCGGCAUGCUUUACACAUGCAAGUCGAACGGCAGCGAGAGAGAAGCUUGCUUCUCUUGUCGGCGAGUGGCGAACGGGUGAGUAAUACAUCGGAACGUACCCUGUAGUGGGGGAUAACUACUCGAAAGAGUAGCUAAUACCGCAUACAACCUGAGGGUAAAAGUGGGGGACCGCAAGGCCUCACGCUAUAGGAGCGGCCGAUGGAAGAUUAGCUAGUUGGUAGGGUAAAGGCCUACCAAGGCGACGAUCUUUAGCGGGUCUGAGAGGACGAUCCGCCACACUGGGACUGAGACACGGCCCAGACUCCUACGGGAGGCAGCAGUGGGGAAUUUUGGACAAUGGGCGAAAGCCUGAUCCAGCAAUGCCGCGUGAGUGAAGAAGGCCUUCGGGUUGUAAAGCUCUUUUGUUUGGGAAGAAAUCCUAAAGGCUAAUAUCCUUUGGGGAUGACGGUACCAAAAGAAUAAGCACCGGCUAACUACGUGCCAGCAGCCGCGGUAAUACGUAGGGUGCAAGCGUUAAUCGGAAUUACUGGGCGUAAAGCGUGCGCAGGCG
rnacentral:rRNA from 1 species